GCCUGACUGUUAUGACAAAUUUGAGGAAGUUGAAAGCAUCCUGGGCAGCAGGAAGGAGCCAGACAUUGGAACUAAAAAAAUAAAAAAUAAUAUAAACAGUAAGUCCGAACACUUUAUGUGACUGACCCCGCCCUGUCCUACAACCUUUCUCUAGAUAGAAUGUACUGCCACAUGUAACAAGUCUCCAGUGAGGAAGGAUUGCAGUUUACAGAUUGCUAUCAGGGGCCAGAGACGUUAGCUGAGAACCAGCCAUGGACCCAAACUAUGCAAUGGCAAAGUUUGGAUUGGAGUCCAAGAAUAUUCUCAAAACUAAGCACAGAGGCUGUUGGUAUUAUACCAAAUAUUUCUUCUUUUUCUUAUCUAUAAUCCAGUUCCUCAUUAUCCUCGGUCUGGUUCUGUUCAUGUUAUAUGGAAAUGCCCAUGUAAACACAGAACUUCGGCUGAUGAGUGUCGAGAAUCGCUACAAGAACCUGACACUCGAUUACACCUGGCUCAAUGGCAAUUAUUCUCUGUUGAAAAGUAAGCUUUCCAGCGUAGAAAAGGAGAAUCAAAACUGCACAAAAAUAUUAGAUUCAGCCAUAAAACAACUGGGAAACAGAACAGCGAAACCACCUAUAAUGCUGCCCCCACCUCUUGAAAUAUGUAAACCGUACCAAUUUGCUCUAGAUCGUCUUAACACGACCUAUAUAAUUGACAUACUUCAGUUAAAGCAUGCACUAUUACUUCAUCAGAGCAAUCAUGACAGGUAUAAAGAGAGCUGUGACCAGAACAUUUUGGCUCUUACUACCAAAGGCAACCAAACAGUUUCUGAAAUAGCAAAGCUUCGGAGGGAGAAAGAAGACUUGGAAGCUCAUAUUAACAAUUUACAGACUGUUUGUAAUGAUAUCAACAAGAGGUUUGACGCAGAGUUGGACGUGAUGAAAAGAAACUUUGACAGCCUUGUGGGCAGCGGUGACCAUCACCGUUAUUCAAAUUGCUGGCCCAUAAGUAAUGAAAUUAAAAGAAACAUAGACCAAGCAAUAAAUAGGUUGAAACAAGAUGUGAACAAUGUCAUGUAUGAGAACAGCCAGAUGAAGACAGAAAAUGGUCGAGUGAAUAAUGAUUUUCAGAAAUGCAACCAAGAAAAGAAGGAUAUUAUUUCAGAGAAGACUAAUCUGUCCAUAGAGAAGCUAGGACUGGAAAAACAGUUGUCUGAAAAAAAGGAAGAAAUUGCCAAGUCUUUCUCAAAGUAUAUGAAAAAGGAAGAAGAACUGGAGAAUUGUCGAAAGAUGCAGACUGGGGGACGCAUGUCUGGUGGGGCAUUUCCACGGAUUUAAAAACAGAUUUUGGCAUGAGGUUACUUGAAAAAAAUGAAGAUGCUUGCAACCCAAGCUAGAAGUUUUUGAAAUCGCAGAAUACGCGCGCUAAUCCAGCUUCAUACACCAUGCUGCUAUGAAAAGUGAUACAGACCCAUUCCACCAAUACUUCAUCAAUUUUGUUGAACAACUAAGCAGAAUUGCCAGUGAGGAAUCAUGGAAAUCCCAUGGAAACAUUCCCUACUAUAUAGGAAAUAGCAGCCAGUAAUUGACGUGAGAAGUUUUGAAAAAUGCAGAAACAGAUUAACUGAUGGCAGUUUUAACAUAUGAUAUUUUACUGGAAAAGUAUUAGCCUACUGUGAAGAAAGCUGCUUGACGGAGCAUAUUAAAACAUCUAUUUAAGAUUACUGCUUUCUGUGACAUUGCUUUCCCUCUCAGCUGCCAAGAAUGUUCCUAGAUAUUUCUUAGAAACUUUGUGCUGUGAUUAAUACACUCCUUUUUACAGGAAACCCCUGAUGUUGGCCUUCGUGUGCUACUGCUGUUUUCUUAACAGGCGACACCAACACACGUCCAUUGUUCUUUUGUAAAUAUUUCUUUGCUUUUGCGGAUAUGGAGAAUAAAUGUUCAAGU